CAUCCAUAAAAUUUUGUCUUGCUUCCGAACUUCUGCCCAAAUCAGGGUCAUCAGGUAUAAACUGGCUCUUAGAUUCCGUUACUAAACAUGUAGCCUUCUUGCGCGUUUCAGAAUUUUUUUUUUUUUUUUUUUUUUCAGAAUCACUCAUCUUUUUGAGCUUCUUGAAUUUCUCGUUCCACCAGUUCUGAAAGGACGUCGUUGGUAUGGCUUUCAUCAGACAGCUGCAAUAACAACUCAAGUUGUCAAUCAACUGCUCUCCAGUGUUCAAUUGUUCAUUCGCACAAAAUUUUUCAGUAGUUCCAUCCGUUCAGUUACUGAGUUAUUGUAACUGAAAUUCUUUUUGGUACUAUACAUCCUAUAUAUAUAAGUACUUUUACGGUGUUUAUUUCGACAACCUUUCGUCAAAAUCAUAUACUGAGUUAUCGAAGUGUUUUAAGUUAUGUAAAUAUUUAGAUUUUGCACUUUUUUAAUUAAAAAAAAAUCAAGACAUAAACGAUAACAAAGACAAGAAGACAUAAACGAUAACAAAGAAAGUACCCGUUCUUAAUGAAACCAUCACAUGUUGCCGUGUUAGUUCUAUACUAUUCUGCAGUUUUAUUUGAGCUUGGUAAAAUACUGCACGAUGUACGCAAUAUGUUCAGUUGCACGAUGUACGUAAUAUGUUCAGUCGCCUAAUUUGCAUAUUCCAUGCGUUAUACCGCAGAAAUCCAAUUUUUGUUGAGUUGUGGAUAAUUAAUAUAAAUAAUUACAAAAUUGAAUAUUCAUUGAAAACUUCAGUCUGCGAGUAUAUUUUUUUACACAAUUCUUUAAUUCUAAGAAGCAGGAAUAAAGAAAACUCUAUGCAAAGUAGACAAGACUUGUGAUGAACCGCUAAUUUACGUGAUCUUAUACUCUAGGGACACUUUUGAAUUGGUUAAAGGAAAGCCUCAUGAAUUGGAGACAAAGGGUUUCUACGUCAAGGACUUCAGUCAACAUAUUUCUCGACAGUCUUUUUACAGUAAUACAAUGCAUAACAACAUACGACUUUUCUCUCGAAACGAAUUGUUAUUUUAAAAAUUCACUUUAAUUGUAGUAGUAUUUAAAUAAAUAAGUUAAUGUGAA